rnacentral:rRNA from 1 species
UACGUAGGGGGCAAGCGUUGUCCGGAAUCAUUGGGCGUAAAGAGCGUGUAGGCGGUCCGAUAAGUCCGCUCUGAAAGUCCGGGGCUCAACCCCGGGAGGCGGGCGGAUACUGUCGGGCUAGAGUCCGGAAGAGGCAAGUGGAAUUCCUGGUGUAGCGGUGAAAUGCGCAGAUAUCAGGAAGAACACCCGUGGCGAAGGCGGCUCUCUGGGACGGUACUGACGCUGAGACGCGAAAGCGUGGGGAGCAAACAGG